UCCGGUCAAGAUAAAUUCACUCUAGUGUCUUAUGGCUUUUUAUUCCUAUGUGAUAGUAAUAAAGUCUCAUGUAGGGAUGGAAGCCAUGAAAUACAUUGUGAAAUGUCAUCAACUAAGAUGGGGCCAUCAGUAUAGAAAACAUCCUAGUUG
ensembl:miRNA sha-mir-135a sha-mir-135a